UCGGGGGUCGUCUAACGGCAGGACAGCACACUUUGGAUGUGCGAAUGGAGGUUCGAUUCCUCCCCCCCGAG
rnacentral:tRNA from 1 species